CAAAAACAGUCCGUUAAGUCGUCGACGUCAAGUAGAGGCUACGUCGUCGGAGAAGACAAGAGGACCAAAUGACAAACAUGAUGUUUAUGUUGAUUGAAUGGGUUGAAGAUCCCCCAACCUGGGAUGUAUUGCCUGUAAAGAAGGUCAUUUACGGCGAAAUCGAGAGAGCAGAAACACCUUGCUAAAAGCACUGGGAAAACUGGAGAGAGACCGGGCAGGAGGCCC